UACGUAUGGAGCAAGCGUUAUCCGGAUUUACUGGGCGUAAAGGGAGCGUAGGCGGUUUGAUAAGUUAGAGGUGAAAUGUCGGGACUCAACCCCGAAACUGCCUCUAAUACUGUUGGACUAGAGAAUAGUUGCGGUAGGCGGAAUGUAUGGUGUAGCGGUGAAAUGCUUAGAGAUCAUACAGAACACCGAUUGCGAAGGCAGCUUACCAAACUAUAUCUGACGUUGAGGCACGAAAGCGUGGGUAGCAAACAGG
rnacentral:rRNA from 1 species